AACGAACGCUGGCGGCGGGCUUAACACAUGCAAGUCGAACGGUCUCUUCGGAGGCAGUGGCAGACGGGUGAGUAACGCGUGGGAAUCUACCUAGUUCUACGGAACAACAGAGGGAAACUUCUGCUAAUACCGUAUACGCCCUACGGGGGAAAGAUUUAUCGGAAUUAGAUGAGCCUGCGUAAGAUUAGCUAGUUGGUGGG
rnacentral:rRNA from 1 species